UUGACCUCGGAUCAGGUAGGGAUACCCGCUGAACUUAAGCAUAUCAAUAAGCGGAGGAAAAGAAACCAACAGGGAUUGCCUCAGUAACGGCGAGUGAAGCGGCAAAAGCUCAAAUUUUAAAGCUGACAUCUUCGGUGUCCGCGUUGUAAUUUUGUGAGGCAUCUCCGGGUAGGGCGCCGGCCUAAGUUCCUUGGAACAGGACGUCACAGAGGGUGAGAAUCCCGUGCUUGGCUGGCUGUCCCCGUCCAUGUGAGGUGUCUUCGACGAGUCGAGUUGUUUGGGAAUGCAGCUCAAAAUGGGUGGUAAAUUUCAUCUAAAGCUAAAUAUUGGUGGGAGACCGAUAGCGCACAAGUAGAGUGAUCGAAAGAUGAAAAGCACUUUGAAAAUAGAGUUAAAAAGUACGUGAAAUUGUUGAAAGGGAAGCGCUUGAGAUCAGACUUCGGUAAGGGGUGAUCAGCCGUCCUUCUGGGCGGUGCACUUGCCCCCCUCCGGGCCAGCAUCGGUUGAGGCGGCGGGAUAAAGGUCCCGGGAAUGUGGCUCCUUCACGGGAGUGUUAUAGCCCGGGUGAAUGCCGCCAGCUUCGACCGAGGACCGCACCCGCAAGGGUUAGGAUGCUUGGCAUAAUGGUCUUCAGCGACCCGUCUU
rnacentral:rRNA from 1 species